GAUGAACGCUGGCGGCGUGCCUAAUACAUGCAAGUCGAGCGAACAGAUGAGGAGCUUGCUCCUCUGACGUUAGCGGCGGACGGGUGAGUAACACGUGGAUAACCUACCUAUAAGACUGGGAUAACUUCGGGAAACCGGAGCUAAUACCGGAUAAUAUAUUGAACCGCAUGGUUCAAUAGUGAAAGACGGUUUUGCUGUCACUUAUAGAUGGAUCCGCGCCGCAUUAGCUAGUUGGUAAGGUAACGGCUUACCAAGGCAACGAUGCGUUGCCGACCUGAGAGGGUGAUCGGCCACACUGGAACUGAGACACGGUCCAGACUCCUACGGGAGGCAGCAAUAGGGAAUCUUCCGCAAUGGGCGAAAGCCUGACGGAGCAACGCCGCGUGAGUGAUGAAGGUCUUCGGAUCGUAAAACUCUGUUAUUAGGGAAGAACAAAUGUGUAAGUAACUAUGCACGUCUUGACGGUACCUAAUCAGAAAGCCACGGCUAACUACGUG
rnacentral:rRNA from 1 species